rnacentral:rRNA from 1 species
ACUAAAUGACUAAUAGUUAUGUUCUUUAAAGUUAAAGAAUUUGGCGGUAUUUUAGUCUUUUCAGAGGAACCUGUUCUGUAAUUGAUAGUCCACGAUUAUAAUUACUUUAGUUUUAAGUUUGCAUAUCGUUGUAGUUUGAGUAUUUUAAAAGAAUUAGAAUAUUCAAUAUGUUUAAUUAAAAUUUAAAUCAAAUCAAGGUGUAGUUUAUAUUAAAGUAGAAAUGGGUUACAUUAAUAAAAAAAUUUAGGAUUAUCUUUGUGAAAAAGAUAUGAAUUUGGAUUUGAGAGUAAUUUUAUUUAUA